rnacentral:lncRNA from 1 species
UUUUAGAUCAGGCCUAUCAAUAAUUUAGGUCUCACUAGCAUGAUCUUAUCACAAUCCUAAAAUCAUUGUCCAGACCUAUGAAAUUUAUUAUAAUCUUAAAACUAAUAACAAGAUGUAGCAUAUAAUGAAUCGAAAAGUCUAUUUUAUUAAAUAACAAUGUCCAAUAUAUGAGUUUGGAAGAUAAGUAAUAGAAAAACACCCCAUCGUAAUCCAUAUGCGAUUGGCUUGUAGGACAUUAUUCUUUUAACAGGAGCAGCCUA